rnacentral:rRNA from 1 species
UCCACCGUGGGGUAGUACGUUCGACAAGAAUAGAAACUACAAAGGUAAUUGGACGGGGGCCCCGCACAAGCGGAGGAACAUGUGGUUUAAUUCGAUGAUACGCGAGGAACCUUACCCGGGCUUGAAAUGCAUCUGACAGGGGCAGAGACGUCUUUCCCUUCGGGGCAGAUGUGUAGGUGCUGCAUGGUUGUCGUCAGCUCGUGCCGUGAGGUGUCGGCUUAAGUGCCAUAACGAGCGCAACCCUCAUCAUUAGUUACCAUCAGGUUAAGCUGGGGACUCUAAUGAGACUGCCAUCGUAAGAUGCGAGGAAGGUGGGGAUGACGUCAAAUCAGCACGGCCCUUACGUCCGGGGCGACACACGUGUUACAAUGGGUGGUACAAAGGGCAGCUACAUGGCGACAUGAUGCUAAUCUCCAAAACCACUCUCAGUUCGGAUCGGAGUCUGCAACUCGACUCCGUGAAGCUGGAUUCGCUAGUAAUCGCGCAUCAGCCACGGCGCGGUGAAUACGUUCCCGGGCCUUGUACACACCGCCCGUCAAGCCAUGGAAGCCGGGGGUACCUGAAGUUCGUAACCGCAUAGGAGCGACCCAGGGUAAAACUGGUAACUGGGGCUAAGUCGUAACAAGGUAGCCGUACCGGAAGGUGCGGCUG